rnacentral:rRNA from 1 species
AACGAACGCUGGCGGCAGGCUUAACACAUGCAAGUCGAGCGCCCCGCAAGGGGAGCGGCAGACGGGUGAGUAACGCGUGGGAAUCUACCCAUCUCUACGGAAUAACGCAUGGAAACGUGUGCUAAUACCGUAUACGUCCUUCGGGAGAAAGAUUUAUCGGAGAUGGAUGAGCCCGCGUUGGAUUAGCUAGUUGGUGGGGUAAAGGCCUACCAAGGCGAUGAUCCAUAGCUGGUCUGAGAGGAUGAUCAGCCACACUGGGACUGAGACACGGCCCAGACUCCUACGGGGGGCAGCAGUGGGGAAUAUUGGACAAUGGGCGCAAGCCUGAUCCAGCCAUGCCGCGUGAGUGAUGAAGGCCCUAGGGUUGUAAAGCUCUUUCACCGGUGAAGAUAAUGACGGUAACCGGAGAAGAAGCCCCGGCUAACUUCGUGCCAGCAGCCGCAGUAAGAC